GACGAACGCUGGCGGCGUGCUUAACACAUGCAAGUCGAACGGAAAGGCCCUGCUUUUGUAGGGUGCUCGAGUGGCGAACGGGUGAGUAACACGUGAGUAACCUGCCCUUGACUUUGGGAUAACUUCAGGAAACUGGGGCUAAUACCGGAUAGGAGCUCCUGCUGCAUGGUGGGGGUUGGAAAGUUUCGGCGGUUGGGGAUGGACUCGCGGCUUAUCAGCUUGUUGGUGGGGUAGUGGCUUACCAAGGCUUUGACGGGUAGCCGGCCUGAGAGGGUGACCGGCCACAUUGGGACGGAGAUACGGCCCAGACUCCUACGGGAGGCAGCAGUGGGGAAUAUUGCACAAUGGGCGGAAGCCUGAUGCAGCAACGCCGCGUGCGGGAUGACGGCCUUCGGGUUGUAAACCGCUUUCGCCUGUGACGAAGCGUGAGUGACGGUAAUGGGUAAAGAAGCACCGGCUAACUACGUG
rnacentral:rRNA from 1 species